AUCGUUUCUCGGCCUUUUGGCUAAGAUCAAGUGUAGUAUCUAAUAACUUAAAAUUUUAUACCACAGAGUUUUACUUCAUUUUUGUUAUUGUAGCUUUA
ensembl:snRNA U2 U2 spliceosomal RNA